rnacentral:rRNA from 1 species
AUUGAACGCUGGCGGCAUGCCUUACACAUGCAAGUCGAACGGCAGCACGGGAGCAAUCCUGGUGGCGAGUGGCGAACGGGUGAGUAAUAUAUCGGAACGUGCCCAGUGAUGGGGGAUAGCCCGGCGAAAGCCGGAUUAAUACCGCAUACGACCUACGGGUGAAAGCAGGGGAUCGCAAGACCUUGCGUCAUUGGAGCGGCCGAUAUCAGAUUAGCUUGNGGUGAGGUAAAGCCUACCAAGGCGACGAUCUGUAGCUGGUCUGAGAGGACGACCAGCCACACUGGGACUGAGACACGGCCCAGACUCCUACGGGAGGCAGCAGUGGGGAAUUUUGGACAAUGGGCGCAAGCCUGAUCCAGCCAUGCCGCGUGCGGG